rnacentral:lncRNA from 1 species
UUUCUUGUGUUUUGCAAAUUGUAUCUUGGGUGUUCUGUAUUUCUGGGCUAAUAUCCACUUAUCAGUGAGGGCAUAUCUAUUUAAUGACUUUUUUGUGAUUGGGUUGCCUCACUAAGGAUGAUAUCCUCCAGAUACAUCCAUUUGUCCAAGAAUUUCAUAAAUCCAUUGUUUUUAAUAGCUGAGUCAUACUCCAUUGUGUAAAUGUACCACAUUUUCUGUAUCCAUUCCUCUGUUGAGGGACAUCUGUGUUCUUUCCAGUUUCUGGCUAUUAUAAAUAAGGCUUAUAUGAACACAGUGGAGCAGCAUGUGUUCUUAUUACCAAUUGGAACUUCUGGGUAUAUGCCCAGGAGAGGUAUUGCUGGAUCUUCCAGUAGUAUUAUGUACAAUUUUCUGAGAUCCAUUCUUAUCUCCUUGUACAAAGCUCAAGUCUAAGUGGAUCAAAGACCUCCACAUAAGUCCAGAGACACUGAAAUUAAUAGAGGAGAAAGUGGGGAAAAGCCUCAAGGAUAUGGGCACAGGAGAAAAAUUCCUAAACAGAACAGCAAUGUCUUGUGCUGUAAGAUCAAGAACUGACAAAUGGGACCUCACAAAAUUGCAAAGCUUCUGGAAGGCAAAAGGCACUGUCAAUAAGACAAAAAGGUCACCAACAGAUUGGGAAAGGAUCUUGACCAAUCCUAAAUCUGAUAGGGAACUAAUAACCAAUAUAUACAAAGAGCUCAAGAAGCUGGACUCCAGAAAUUCAAACUGGACUUCUUAAAAUUAAAAAUGGCGUUCAGAGCUAAACAAAGAAUUCUCAACUGAGGAAUGCCAAAUGACUGAGACGCACCUGAAAAAAUGUUCAACAUCCUUAAUCAUCAGGGAAAUACAAAUCAAAACAACCUUGAGAUUCCACCAGUCACACAGUCAGAAUGGCUAAGAUCCAAAAUUCAGGUGACAGCAGAUGCUGGUGAGGAUGUGGAGAAAGAGGAACACUCCUCCACUGCUGGUGGGAUUGCAAGCUUGUACAACCACUCUGGAAGUCAGUCUGUAUUUUGUUUUCUCUGUUUUCUUGGUCAUAGCGCCUUCAUCUCCCAGGCUAGAAAUAUCCAAGUUCUGUUUCUUUCCUAGUUCAGUUUUUCUCAUACUUCCCUCUUUCUUGUUUGCUGAAUUUUAUAAAUUUAGACUUCCUCUUUUGAUUCUUGAUGUACUUAUCUUUUUCUUCAUUUCACAAUAUCUUCAGUACAGCCACAUUUACUGUCUGAAGGCCUGUGUCUUCCCAUCCUCUCCAAUUGCUUUACCCCAAGUGUCAGUAUUCCUUAUGUAUAACACAGCAUCUCCACUUCAAAAUGUUCUCAAAUAUGUCCACAUAUUUACCUUCUCUCAUUUCUCCCAACUCAAGAUGAACCUUUUUACAGAUUCCUGAAUCUCAGAAUUUAUACUACCUCCCUCUUGUCAACUUAACAUAAGGCUUUCUUAUGUCUACCUUAUCAUUUGAUAUAAAUUUAUAUCUUCUCUAAGCCUGACCUCAUUUACCAUAAUGAUUAUUAUAUUAAAAACCACAGGGAAAGACAGGAGAGAUGUUUCUCCAAAGCGCUAAGAAAAGCAAGUGUAUUUGGAAACUACUAAUUAAUAGCAUCUCUAUAGAGAUGCUCAUUAAAAGGGGGAGUAAAUAGUUCCUUUUUUAUUUAAUUUUUUAUUAGAUAUUUUCUUUAUUUACAUUUCAAAUGCUAUUCUGAAAGUUCCCUAUACCCCUGCCUCCCGCCCUGCUCCCCUAAGAAAAUCAAGAAGAAGGAAGACCAACGUGUGGAUACUUCAUUCUGCCUUAGAAUAAGGAACAAAAUACCCAUGAAAGGAGUUACACAGACAAAGUUUGGAGCUAAGACAAAAGGAUAGACCAUCCAGACACUACCCCACCUGAGGAUCCAUCCCAUAAUCAGUCACCAAACCCAGACACUAUUGCAUAUGCCAGCAAGAUUUUGCUGAAGGGACCCUGAUAUAUUUCCUAUUUUAAAAGCAUGAAUAAAAUCUAGCACUUCUUAAAAUAACUUCAAAAUUAGCACUGAGAUUUCUGUUGCUAUACAAUAUUUUACUAAACAUAAAAUUUUAGAUUUCCUACUCAAAUAUGUACAGAAAAAAUAAUUUAAUCAUUUCACCUUACAAUACAGUUUUGACACUAUAGUAUGUAGUCAAAUAUAAUUCAAAAUCAAAAAGACAACAUUAGAAACCAUUUAUAGAUUAUAUUAGAAUUUAAAGCUGACUCUUCUUUGUAAAGUUAUCCUGGCUUAGGAAUUUCAUUAUAGCAACAAAAAGCAAAGGAACACAAUGAAUGCAUCGGAUGUGGUUAGGUAGUACCAUGGAAGUGGCUUUAAUAUGUGGUCAGUUUUGAAGAUAUGGUGAACCAAAUAAGAACUAUAUUUUGCCAAACAGUUUAAAGAAACACUGAAUAUGGUAGAGGAUGAUCAUAUGUUUAUGGUAUAUGUUUCAUAGCUACAAAGACCUAUUUACUUAUGUUAAUGUUAUUUCAAUCACUUUAUACACUGUCAAAUGAUAUAAGAUGAUUCUAAAUUUCUUCAUAAAAUAUUAACCAGUGAGAUGGAGUGUCAACCCUCUAAAUUAAAUUAAGCAAAUUGAUGCCAUGGCUGUGAGAAUGAUAGGAUCUAGCAGAGAGGUAAAAUUUAUGUUACCACUCUUCACACUCUUCAGAUUCUGUGAUAUAUAUAUAUUUGGCUAUGAUUAUGAAAAAUAUAUAUUUGGCUAUGAUUAUGAAAAAAUAUAUUUGGCUAUGAUUAUGAAAAUAAAUCUAUCUAUUACAUCUUAGGUAAUUUAGAUUUAGAAAAAUAACCUAUAGUAAAAGUAAAAACAAAACAGAGGUAUAGAUAAUGCCAGCUAGGAGGAAAUACAGAGACAAAGUGUGGAGCAGAGACUGAAGAAAAGGCCAUCCAGAAACUGUUCCACCUGGGUAUCCAUGCCAUAUACAGACACCAACACAGACAUUAUGGUGGAUGUCAAGAAGUGACUGGAUCCUGGUAUGCAUGUCUCUCAAGAGACUCUGCCAGAGCCAGACAAAUACAGAGUCAGAUGCUCUAAGCCAACCACUGGACUGGGCAUGGGGUCCCCAAUGGAAGAGCUAGAGAAAGGACUGAAGAUGCUAAAGGGGUUUGCAACCCCAAUAUCAACCAACCAGAACCCCCAUCCCCAGAGCUCCCAAGGACUAAACCACCAACCAGUGUACACAUGGAGGGACCCAUGACUCCAACAGCAUACGCAGCAGAGGAUGUCCUUGUCAGGCAUCAAUAGGAGGAGAGGCCCUUGGUCCUGUGAAAGUUUGUGAAGGCUCGAUGCCCCAGUGUAGGGGAAUGCCAGGUCAGGGAGGCAGGAGUGGGUGAAUGGGUGGGGCAGCACCCUCCUCGAAGCAGGAGGAGUUAUAUUGUAUAGGGGCGUUCAGGGUGGUAGGACUGGGAAAGGGGAUAACAUUUGAAAUGUAAAUAAAGAAAAUAUCU